rnacentral:rRNA from 1 species
GACGAACGCUGGCGGCGUGCCUAAUACAUGCAAGUAGAACGCUGAAGGAGGAGCUUGCUUCUCUGGAUGAGUUGCGAACGGGUGAGUAACGCGUAGGUAACCUGCCUGGUAGCGGGGGAUAACUAUUGGAAACGAUAGCUAAUACCGCAUAAUAGUAGAUGUUGCAUGACAUUUGCUUAAAAGGUGCAAUUGCAUCACUACCAGAUGGACCUGCGUUGUAUUAGCUAGUUGGUGGGGUAACGGCUCACCAAGGCGACGAUACAUAGCCGACCUGAGAGGGUGAUCGGCCACACUGGGACGGAGACACGGCCCAGACUCCUACGGGAGGCAGCAGUAGGGAAUCGUCGGCAAUGGACGGAAGUCUGACCGAGCAACGCCGCGGGAGUGAAGAAGGUUGUCGGAUCGUAAAGCUCUGUUGUAAGAGAAGAACGAGUGUGAGAGUGGAAAGUUCACACUGUGACGGUAUCUUACCAGAAAGGGACGGCUAACUACGUG